rnacentral:rRNA from 1 species
UUUAUAUUUAAANCCGGNAAAUGGAAUAGGACAUGCGUUUCUAUUUUGUUGGUUACUAGUACGGCAGUAUUNAGUAAUAGGGAUCCUCGGCGGUGUCAGUANUCAGCGGUCAGAGGUGAAAUUCUGGGAUAUGGNGAAGACUAAGUAGUGCGAAAGCAUUGGCCAGGGAUGUUUUCCUUCAUCAGGGAACGAAAGUNAGGGGAUCGAAGACGAUCAGAUACAGUGGUAGUCUUAACCAUAAAAUAUGCCGACUAGGGAUCAAUCGGUGUUUCAAUAAUGACCCGCCAUGCACCACCAUAGAAAUCAACGUUAUAGGGUUCUGGGGGGAGUAUGGUCGCAAGGGUGAAAACUAAAGAAAUUUACGGAAGGGCACCCCAAGUAAUGGACCGUGUGCAUUCAUUGUGGUCACCAUGGGGAAACUUACCAGGUCCUGACCAUAUAGACCAUACUCCCCCCAGAACCCAAAAACUUCUUUUGGAUUAAGUGCAUGGCCGGGUCUAGUUGAAACACCAUUCGUUCGCUUAAUGGCGAUAACGAAGGAGACGUCUGCCCUUAAAUAGCCUGGUCUGCAAUUCCGGGACGUUGGUUUCUUAGGGGGAGAAUAGGUCCAAGCCGAAGGAAGUGCCCGGCAAUAACAGGUGUGUGAUGCCAGAAGACACCUGGGCCGCACGCGCGCUACACCCCCAGGGCCAGCGAGUACAUCACCUGGCCGAGAGGUACCAACUAAUAAUUUCCCCNCC